AGGGGUUCAGAAGAGAGAGAUUAUUAUGGAUUGGAAUGAGAGGGAACUUCAUAAAAGAAGCUAACCUACUCUGCCAUUUCUGAAAGCACUCUCCCUGUUUCCAGCCCUCUUUCCAGAAGACCACUUCGCUGUUAAACACAUAUGAAAUAACAGGCCUGUGACUCCGGCAGUCUGUUUGACUUGGUGCCUACCUGAAGAAAAACAAAGAAAAGCCUGCUGACCUUUGUGGAUUUCUUCCAGAAUUAUGAUUCUAUGUCAAAGUAACAGGGGCUAUAAUAUGCAAAGUUUUCUUAAUGUUUCCAUCCAUAUAGGCUUGUUAGGCACUUAAAUAAUUUCUGCAAGCGAAUUUUCCUUUCCAAGUUUGUCUCCAUAUCAAAAACACUUCUGGACCAAAUAAGACUCUGAGUAAGAACCUGAAUACCCCAUUGCCACACACUUGUAUGCAUUUAUGUCCACCUGGACUUCUGAGUUAAACAACAGUAGGUGAGAUGUUCCUAGUCACCAGAACCACUAUACAGUAACACAGCCAUAAAAAUCAUACCACCCGUUCACAUAUAAUUCAUCAUAUUCUGCUUGGAUAAUGUAAAUUGCUUGCAAGAAAAAG
rnacentral:lncRNA from 1 species